rnacentral:lncRNA from 1 species
GCACCAAUGUCCAUUUUCUGGUUUUGCUAUUACACUAUAGUCACAUAAAAUAUAACCAUUGGGGGAAACUGGACGGAGCCUACAUAGAACAUACCUGAACUACCUUUGCAACUUCCUGCAUAUCUAUAAUUAUUUUAUAAGUUUUAUAAAAAGCAAAAAAAAAAAAAAGCAGGUUUUCAUCAGCUUUUAAGCUCCUUCCAGUAGGCCUCAGCUUGCUAAUUCUAGAAACAGGAGAUGGAAGAAGUAAGACAUUCACCUUGUAAAUAUAAAUCUUUUCUUUUGCGAAUAUGCUAUGGAGUGGCGGGAUCAGCCACCCGUGUUUCUUCAGGUUAACGGCAGGAGAGAUUUCAGAACUGUUCCUUAGAUUCCAAGUUCUUAGUUCUUUUCUCACGCCAUCCUCUGCACCACUGGGUGGCUAGGAGAUAACACUCCUCCCCCCUCCUCAGACAAGGAGAGUUAAGCUCAUAGGGAACUGGCAUGCCGGAUUCACACAGUGAGGGUGGUAGAAAGAUAAGUUAGCAUCUCUCCCCAAGGACCACUCCAUCUGUAAAAUCAAAUUCCCUCUCAGCACCUGGGGAAAGUGCGGAAGUGUCUCCCCACUUACACUGCUGCUCUCUUAGGUCUACCAUUGGGAACACAUUUUUAUUGUAACACUGUGAAGCGAGAGGACUGAAACAGGGAGAACGGGUUGGACAAAUAAAAAUUGGAAAUUUGGUUCAGAAGCAUGGGACUUCAAAGAACCAUGAUACUUUCCACAGGUGAGGACUGGAAGGUCUUCAAGGGAAGUUUUCCCAGCAAGAUUUUAAAAGGCCGGAGCAAACAAACCUGUGCCACACCACACAAUAAAGACUGAAGAUAUUCCUGCUACUCCUGGAUGUCUGUGGCAGCCAAGCACCCCCUCCCAGUCUCAGCUCUGCUUCUGGUUCCCCUGCAUCUACUGUCCCUGACCCAAGUCACUGGUAAGGUAAGAACAACAAAGUUAUCUUAUGGGAAAGAAGACUUCCUGACUCCGAACCCUAAAAGAGCUGUAUGACAGUCAGGUUUUAUGUGUUGGAUAUUAAGGACUAAUGACUGACAGAAAAAGAUGGGUUGGUCAGCUCUAUGGCAAUUGCUUUGAACUCCUUAGAAAAAAAACACAGUGCCCACCUAGGAAAGCAGGUUAAGGCAUGUCCCU